rnacentral:rRNA from 1 species
GUGUCAGCAGCCGCGGUAAUACGGAGGGUGCGAGCGUUGUCCGGAAUCACUGGGCGUAAAGGGCGCGUAGGUGGUAACCUAAGCGUGUGGUGAAAGCCCGGGGCUCAACCUCGGGUCGGCCAUGCGAACUGGGUCACUGGAGCACUGUAGAGGCAGGUGGAAUUCCGGGUGUAGCGGUGGAAUGCGUAGAGAUCCGGAAGAACACCGGUGGCGAAGGCGGCCUGCUGGGCAGUUGCUGACACUGAGGCGCGACAGCGUGGGGAGCAAACAGGAUUAGAUACCCUGGUAGUCCACGCCGUAAACGAUGGGCACUAGGUGCUUCGGGGAGCGACCCUCGGAGUGCCGGCGCUAACGCAUUAAGUGCCCCGCCUGGGGAGUACGGCCGCAAGGCUGAA